UACGUAGGUGGCGAGCGUUGUCCGGAUUUACUGGGCGUAAAGGGAGCGUAGGCGGACUUUUAAGUGAGAUGUGAAAUACCCGGGCUCAACUUGGGUGCUGCAUUCCAAACUGGAAGUCUAGAGUGCAGGAGAGGAGAAUGGAAUUCCUAGUGUAGCGGUGAAAUGCGUAGAGAUUAGGAAGAACACCAGUGGCGAAGGCGAUUCUCUGGACUGUAACUGACGCUGAGGCUCGAAAGCGUGGGGAGCAAACAGGAUUAGAUACCCCCGUA
rnacentral:rRNA from 1 species